rnacentral:lncRNA from 1 species
CAAUACACAGUUGAGAUAUAUGACUCAACAGAAGGUAAUUAUAACUGAACUCACAGAGGGACCAGAAAGUAUACAUAGAAAGAGAAGAGGGCAUAAGACAGAACUCUAAAGACCACUGACACUUAUGGGAUGUGCAGAUCAGAGCAGGUGGCCAAACUGAAAAGGAACGGCCAGAUUGGUGGGAAGCCACAGAGUGAGGGCCACGGCAGCAGCUCCAGAGUCAAGCAGUGGUCAACAGUGGCGAGUGCUUGUGACAUCAGGAAUCCACUGUCUACUUUGAAACAGACUCAUCAUAAGAUGGAGAAUGUCUUUGGAGAAAUCGUGAGAAGGCCAUGCAAAAUAUAUCUUCAAGGUCAGCUCUAACCUGGAAACAAUUUUGCCUGGUUUGUGACCUCAGGAAAAAGGAGGAAGAGAGCUCCCAUUUGAUGUCUGAGGGACAUGAAGCAGAGGAAGUUAACUGCACUGAAAAUGAGGACGCCUAGAUCUGAGAGACCCUGAGAAAUUAAGGCCUCUCCUCAUCCAUAAAACGGAGGGAGCCCCUGCCUAACCUCCCUCAGGAGACUGGUGAGAAGCAAAUGAGACAAUGCCUGUGAAACUACUUUGUAAAUUGGAAAUCUCUACACAACAUAAAAAUGUAAA